rnacentral:lncRNA from 1 species
GAUGAGUAUCCGAAUGCAACUAUGUAUUUUACGAAUCUUGAUACUGUAUGCUGCAAAGAUUUUACAAAAUGUUUUAUUCAUGUAUGCGGCAUUUGCUUGAGUCAAAGGUUUAAGUAUGGAGGAGUUUGAUAACGCGAAAAUGUAUCUUAUUUUUGGCUUCAUAUGCAUUGCUUUUUACUUGAUUAACACUUAUUAUUACACAGUAUUUUAGGUUUAUUGUAAGUAUUUAUCGAUUAAAAGGUUUACAAGCAAGCAAAAUGGAAAAUAGAAAAA